GAUCAUGGCUCAGAACGAACGCUGGCGGCGCGUUUAAGCAUGCAAGUCGAGCGGCAAGGGCCUUCGGGCCCCUAGAGCGGCGGACGGGUGAGUAACACGUGGACAAUCUGCCCCCCGGCCCGGGAUAGCCCAGGGAAACCUGGAUUAAUACCGGAUGAGACGGGACCCGCGAUGGCGGGGUCCGGGAAAGGCGCUGCGGCGCCGCCGGGGGAUGAGUCUGCGUCCCAUUAGCUAGACGGCGGGGUAACGGCCCACCGUGGCGACGAUGGGUAGCCGGCCUGAGAGGGUGGACGGCCACAUUGGAACUGAGACACGGUCCAGACUCCUACGGGAGGCAGCAGCUAAGAAUCUUCCGCAAUGGGCGAAAGCCUGACGGAGCGACGCCCGCGUGAACGAAGAAGGCCGUGAGGUUGUAAAGUUCUUUUCGGGAGGGGGAACAACCGUGGCAGGGAAUGGCCGCGGGAUGACGUGAAUCCCGGAAUAAGCCCCGGCUAACUACGUGCCAGCAGCCGC
rnacentral:rRNA from 1 species